rnacentral:tRNA from 1 species
GGGGCUGUAGCUCAGCUGGAAGAGCGCCUGGUUCGCAAUCAGGAGGUCAGGGGUUCGAACCCCCUCUGCUCCACCA